rnacentral:rRNA from 1 species
GAUGAACGCUGGCGGCGUGCCUAAUACAUGCAAGUCGAGCGAACGGACGAGAAGCUUGCUUCUCUGAUGUUAGCGGCGGACGGGUGAGUAACACGUGGAUAACCUACCUAUAAGACUGGGAUAACUUCGGGAAACCGGAGCUAAUACCGGAUAAUAUUUUGAACCGCAUGGUUCAAAAGUGAAAGACGGUCUUGCUGUCACUUAUAGAUGGAUCCGCGCUGCAUUAGCUAGUUGGUAAGGUAACGGCUUACCAAGGCAACGAUGCAUAGCCGACCUGAGAGGGUGAUCGGCCACACUGGAGCGGAGACACGGUCCAGACUCCUACGGGAGGCAGCAGUAGGGAAUCUUCCGCAAUGGGCGAAAGCCUGACGGAGCAACGCCGCGUGAGUGAUGAAGGUGUUCGGAUCGUAAAACUCUGUUAUUAGGGAAGAACAUAUGUGUAAGUAACUGUGCACAUCUUGACGGUACCUAAUCAGAAAGCCACGGCUAACUACGUG